rnacentral:lncRNA from 1 species
CCAGCACUGAAACCCAUGGACACACCCCUUCCGUGACCCCAGAGUGCCAUGUGCUCUGAAAAGCUCACUGGCUUCUGGAAGAGAGGAUAAUGGAUAUUGGGGGCAACUAGCAAUCUCUGCCACUGGAACACAAUCUCCCCUCCCCCCCAGGACUUCGGUGAACCAAGGUCAAGGCAAUGGCAGACUGCAAGGGGAGGAGAGAGGUGAUCUGGCAAGUAGUCUGAGGAGGCUGCCUGGGGGAGGCAACAUCUGGGCCAAGCCUUGAAGGACAACUAGAGUUUGGGAAGCUGAGAUGGAAAAGAGUUCCAGAAAAGGUGGUGGACUAGCCGAUGGAGCAAGUGUGGAGAAAUUAUGGUUCAGUGUGAAGAGCCUGGUUUUGCAGCCAGAGGACCCAGGUCCAAGUCCUGACACAGUCGGCGGAGCAAGGCGCCCGCUUCCCCGAGCCUCGGCUGACCCCUCGUUGAAAGGCUGAUGGCCACAGCUCCUCGAAGGCCUGCGGGGGGCGGCGGCCGCGGAAGGGCCUGGCAUUCGGUGGGGUUGUGGCGGAUGUUCCCAUGGCUGGAGCGCGGGGUCAGGGUUGGGCAGGGGCAGGAGGCGGAGGCCCCACCUGGCGGCCUCGAAGGCCAGGCCAAGCGGUUUGGAUGUUGCUCAGAAGCUGUGGGCAGCUGCUUGGCAGGGCAGCAUCCUGAGAGGAGAGUGGCUUUUCAAACACGACUCUGGAAGAUGGAGAGGAGGAGAGCCCUUCUUGAGGACAGAGGUGCCCCGAGAAGCCCUCUGGGGCCACCAGCGGCCAGGCUGGAGCCAAGGGCUGCCCACAGAGGAGGGCUCAGCUCCAGCAGUGGGCCCCGUGGUGGUGAGGAUGUCCACCCUGGGACAGCGGGCGGCUGGGAGAGCUCAGAACUCGCCCGAGACUUCCAGCCCCAACCAUCCGCCAAAGACGCUCCUCUGCUCCCGGGAGCAGGGCGUUCCCGAGCCCACCUACCCAGCAGAGGUGCCCGGGCACAUUCCAUGCUGUCUCCCCUGGACUGUCCCCCUCCCAGUGAC